rnacentral:rRNA from 1 species
GAAUUCGCCCUUAGAGUUUGAUCCUGGCUCAGGACGAACGCUGGCGGCGCGCCUAACACAUGCAAGUCGAACGGAGCUUAGAGAGCUUGCUUUUUAAGCUUAGUGGCGAACGGGUGAGUAACGCGUGAGUAACCUGCCCUAGAGUGGGGGACAACAGUUGGAAACGACUGCUAAUACCGCAUAAGCCCACGGUGCCGCAUGACACUGAGGGAAAAGGAUUUAUUCGCUUUAGGAUGGACUCGCGUCCAAUUAGCUAGUUGGUGAGGUAACGGCCCACCAAGGCGACGAUUGGUAGCCGGACUGAGAGGUUGAACGGCCACAUUGGGACUGAGACACGGCCCAGACUCCUACGGGAGGCAGCAGUGGGGGAUAUUGCACAAUGGGGGAAACCCUGAUGCAGCGACGCCGCGUGGAGGAAGAAGGUUUUCGGAUUGUAAACUCCUGUCGUUAGGGACGAUAAUGACGGUACCUAACAAGAAAGCACCGGCUAACUACGUGCCAGCAGCCGCGGUAAAACGUAGGGUGCAAGCGUUGUCCGGAAUUACUGGGUGUAAAGGGAGCGCAGGCGGGAAGACAGGUUGGAAGUGAAAACCAUGGGCUCAACCCAUGAAUUGCUUUCAAAACUGCUUUUCUUGAGUAGUGCAGAGGUAGAUGGAAUUCCCGGUGUAGCGGUGGAAUGCGUAGAUAUCGGGAGGAACACCAGUGGCGAAGGCGGUCUACUGGGCACCAACUGACGCUGAGGCUCGAAAGCAUGGGUAGCAAACAGGAUUAGAUACCCUGGUAGUCCAUGCCGUAAACGAUGAUUACUAGGUGUUGGGGGAUUGACCCCCUCAGUGCCGCAGUUAACACAAUAAGUAAUCCACCUGGGGAGUACGACCGCAAGGUUGAAACUCAAAGGAAUUGACGGGGGCCCGCACAAGCAGUGGAGUAUGUGGUUUAAUUCGAAGCAACGCGAAGAACCUUACCAGGUCUUGACAUCCGAUGCAUAACACAGAGAUGUGUGAAAUCCUUCGGGACAUCGAGACAGGUGGUGCAUGGUUGUCGUCAGCUCGUGUCGUGAGAUGUUGGGUUAAGUCCCGCAACGAGCGCAACCCCUAUCUUCAGUAGCCAGCAGGUAGAGCUGGGCACUCUGGAGAGACUGCCAGGGAUAACCUGGAGGAAGGUGGGGACGACGUCAAAUCAUCAUGCCCCUUAUGAUCUGGGCGACACACGUGCUACAAUGGCGGUCACAGAGUGAGGCGAACCUGCGAGGGGGAGCAAACCACAAAAAGGCCGUCCCAGUUCGGACUGUAGUCUGCAACCCGACUACACGAAGCUGGAAUCGCUAGUAAUCGCGAAUCAGAAUGUCGCGGUGAAUACGUUCCCGGGUCUUGCACUCACCGCCCGUCA